rnacentral:rRNA from 1 species
UUAAAUUGAAGAGUUUGAUCAUGGCUCAGAUUGAACGCUGGCGGCAGGCCUAACACAUGCAAGUCGAACGGUAGCACAGAGAGCUUGCUCUCGGGUGACGAGUGGCGGACGGGUGAGUAAUGUCUGGGAAACUGCCUGAUGGAGGGGGAUAACUACUGGAAACGGUAGCUAAUACCGCAUAAUGUCGCAAGACCAAAGAG